UGAAUAAGCGCCGGCUAACUACGUGCCAGCAGCCGCGGUAAUACGUAGGGSGCAAGCGUUAUCCGGAUUUAUUGGGCGUAAAGGGCUCGUAGGCGGCUUGUCGCGUCCGGUGUGAAAGUCCACUGCUUAACGGUGGAUCGGCGCCGGGUACGGGCAGGCUGGAGUGCGGCAGGGGAGACUGGAAUUCCCGGUGUAACGGUGGAAUGUGUAGAUAUCGGGAAGAACACCGAUGGCGAAGGCAGGUCUCUGGGCCGUCACUGACGCUGAGGAGCGAAAGCGUGGGGAGCGAACAGGAUUAGAUACCCUGGUAGUCCACGCCGUAAACGGUGGAUGCUGGAUGUGGGGCCCGUUCCGCGGGUUCCGUGUCGGAGCUAACGCGUUAAGCAUCCCGCCUGGGGAGUACGGCCGCAAGGCUAAAACUCAAAGAAAUUGACGGGGGCCCGCACAAGCGGCGGAGCAUGCGGAUUAAUUCGAUGCAACGCGAAGAACCUUACCUGGGCUUGACAUGUUCCCGACGGCYGCGGAGACGCGGCUUCCCUUCGGGGCGGGUUCACAGGUGGUGCAUGGUCGUCGUCAGCUCGUGUCGUGAGAUGUUGGGUUAAGUCCCGCAACGAGCGCAACCCUCGCCUCGUGUUGCCAGCGGGUCAUGCCGGGAACUCACGAGGGACCGCCGGGGUUAACCCGGAGGAAGGUGGGGAUGACGUCAGAUCAUCAUGCCCCUUACGUCCAGGGCUUCACGCAUGCUACAAUGGCCGGUACAGCGGGAUGCGACAUGGCGACAUGGAGCGGAUCCCUGAAAACCGGUCUCAGUUCGGAUCGGAGCCUGCAACCCGGCUCCGUGAAGGCGGAGUCGCUAGUAAUCGCGGAUCAGCAACGCCGCGGUGAAUGCGUUCCCGGGCCUUGUACACACCGCCCGUCAAGUCAUGAAAGUGGGUAGUCGCCCGAAGCCGGUGGCCCUAACCAGCCUAGCUGGGGGGAGCCGU
rnacentral:rRNA from 1 species